rnacentral:rRNA from 1 species
UACGUAGGUGACCAGCGUUGUCCGGACUUACUGGGCGUAAAGAGCGCGCAGGCGGUCGUUCAAGUCGAGUGUGAAAGCCCCCGGCUCAACUGGGGAGGGUCACUCGAUACUGAUCGACUUGAAGGCAGGAGAGGGAAGCGGAAUUCCCGGUGUAGUGGUGAAAUGCGUAGAUAUCUGGAGGAACACCGGUGGCGAAGGCGGCAUCCUGGACCGAUACUGACGCUGAGGAGCGAAAGCCAGGGGAGCAAACGGG